GACGAACGCUGGCGGCGUGCUUAACACAUGCAAGUCGAACGGAAAGGCCCUUGUUUUGUGGGGUUCUCGAGUGGCGAACGGGUGAGUAACACGUGAGUAACCUUCCCUUGGCUUUGGGAUAACUUCAGGAAACUGGGGCUAUUACCGGUUAGGAGCUCCUGCUGCAUGGUGGGGGUUGGAAAGUUUAGGCGGUUGGGGAUGGACUGGCGGCUUAUGAGCUUGUUGGUGGGGUAGUGGCUUAACAAGGCUUUGACGGGUAGCCGGCAUGAGAGGGUGACCAGGCACAUUAGGACUGAGAGACGGCGCAGUGUCCUACGGGAGGCAGCAGUGGGGAAUAUUGCACAGUAGGCCGGAGUGUGAGGCAACGACGCCGGGUGCGGGAUGCCGGCCUGCGGGUUGUAAACCGCUUUGGCCUGAGACGAAGCGUGAGUGACGGUACUGGGUAAAGAAGCACCGGCUAACUACGUG
rnacentral:rRNA from 1 species